rnacentral:rRNA from 1 species
AAUGAACGCUGGCGGCGCGCCUAAUACAUGCAAGUCGUAGCGAGAAGACGUAGCAAUACGUUUAGUAAAGCGGCGAACGGGUGAGGAAUACAUGGGUAACCUACCCUCGAGUGGGGAAUAACUAGCCGAAAGGUUAGCUAAUACCGCGUACGCUUCUUGGACUUCGGUUCAGGGAGGAAAGCGAUGCCGAGGGUAUCGCGCUCUUGGAUGGGCUCAUGUCCUAUCAGCUUGNGGUGAGGUAACGGCUCACCAAGGCUUCGACGGGUAGCUGGUCUGAGAGGACGAUCAGCCACACUGGCACUGCGACACGGGCCAGACUCCUAC